rnacentral:rRNA from 1 species
AUGGUACUGAAUCAACGCCAAUUCCCUCGCCAUGCCCCUUCCCUGGUGCUACACAAAGUGGAAUUUGCGCCGGUGUCAAGAGAACAAGUACAAGUUCCUCAUGUCAUGCCUAUAAGUUUCACUCCAAAUAAUAAAAUGUCCUCAAGGGUCGUACUAAAAAAAGAACUACAUCAGCAAGUUGAUUCAAUAAUCCAUCCUCUGUUUUGCCCCUCGUUGGUUAGUUAUUCAGUUAUGGGUCGGGGUGGGAGUGGGAGUAUUGAUGGCUGUUUGUUCUUCACAAAGUUUUGGGUGAAAGAGCAAAUUGGCAGCAAUUAG